rnacentral:rRNA from 1 species
UACGAAGGGGGCUAGCGUUGCUCGGAAUUACUGGGCGUAAAGCGCACGUAGGCGGUCUUUUAAGUCGGGGUGAAAUCCUGGAGCUCAACUCCAGAACUGCCUUCGAUACUGGAAGACUUGAGUCCGGGAGAGGUGAGUGGAACUGCGAGUGUAGAGGUGAAAUUCGUAGAUAUUCGCAAGAACACCAGUGGCGAAGGCGGCUCACUGGCCCGGUACUGACGCUGAGGUGCGAAAGCGUGGGAGCAACAGG